CCCUUUGGGGUAGAAGGGGGCAGUCUUUUGCUGGCUCCAAAAGUUAGUCCCGGGGUAGGGUAGGGUCUAUUGUGAUGAUUACUACAAGAGGUCUGUGAGAUAGGACCCCCUCCCCACAAACCCCCUCCUUAAUUACGGAUUGAGGAGGGGGAGGGGCCAGUGGGGCUCAGGUGAGCACACGGGGAGAAAGGGACAUGGGCGGGGCCUUACAGAGGGUCAGCGAAUCCGAAAAGACCUAAGCCCUCGUUGCUGGGCGACAAGUCCCGCCCCGCAGGCGGCACCGGAAGUGGCAGGCCGGGAUCAGCCUUUAAGAUGGCGUCUCCUCAGGGGGGCCAGAUUGCGAUCGCGAUGAGGCUUCGGAACCAGCUCCAGUCAGUGUACAAGAUGGACCCGCUACGGAACGAGGAGGAGGUCCGAGUAAAGAUCAAAGACCUGAAUGAGCACAUCGUCUGCUGCCUGUGCGCUGGCUACUUCGUGGAUGCUACCACCAUCACAGAGUGUCUUCAUACGUUCUGCAAGAGUUGUAUUGUGAAGUACCUCCAAACCAGUAAGUACUGCCCCAUGUGCAACAUCAAGAUCCACGAGACACAGCCACUGCUCAACCUCAAACUGGACCGGGUCAUGCAGGACAUCGUGUACAAGCUAGUGCCUGGCUUACAAGACAGUGAAGAGAAACGGAUUCGAGAAUUCUACCAGUCCCGAGGCUUGGACCGGGUCACCCAACCCAGUGGGGAAGAGCCAGCCCUGAGCAACCUCGGCCUCCCUUUCAGCAGCUUUGACCAUUCAAAAGCCCACUACUAUCGCUAUGAUGAGCAGCUGAGCCUGUGCCUGGAACGGCUGAGUUCUGGCAAAGACAAGAAUAAAAGCAUCCUGCAGAACAAAUACGUCCGAUGUUCUGUUAGAGCUGAAGUUCGUCAUCUCCGGAGGGUCCUGUGUCACCGCUUAAUGCUAAAUCCCCAGCAUGUACAGCUCCUUUUUGACAAUGAAGUUCUCCCAGAUCACAUGACCAUGAAGCAGAUAUGGCUGUCCCGCUGGUUUGGCAAGCCAUCCCCUUUGCUUUUACAAUACAGUGUGAAAGAGAAGAGGAGAAAUCCUCUGAGUUUCAUCUUGAAGGAGGGCCUCUCUAUGUCCGUGGUCCCUCAGUGAAUUGCCAAAGGAGAGGCAAAGGAGAGGGAUAGAGGACCCUACACAUAUAAAACUCAGAAGAAUUCAAAGGAAUGCCCCGGAAGGGAAAUUUGGAGACUGAAGGUUGUUUAUUGAGCAGAUCUCUGCCAAGAAGAGGGGCAUCAGUUUGGGGUGAGCCUGGGUCAGGGAACCCACCAGAUGGGAGGCUGAGGUGGGCAAGGUGGUUGAGAGGUAUGGUGUCAGGGAAUGAGGGAGAAGAUGGGGCUACAAGGAAAAGGACAUCUGAAAGGAGGUGAUGAACAGAGGUGUGAGAAAGCAUCCUUAAAUAGGAGUAGAGGCAUCUUCCUGAGGGAGUGAAAGUUGGAAUGUGGGGAUCUGGAUAACGGGGAGGAGCAGAGGACCCCAAAUGUCUGAAAGGACAAUGAGGGGAAUCCGAGGAGAUGGGAGACCACAAGGGGUUGCUUGAGAAUCCUGAGAGAGGAAAACCUCCAUCACAG